GAUGAACGCUGGCGGCGUGCCUAAUACAUGCAAGUCGGACGGAGAAUUAGCAAUAAUUCUUAGUGGCGAACGGGUGAGUAACGCGUUGGUGACCUGCCCCGAAGUGAGGGAUAACAGCUCGAAAGGGCUGCUAAUACCCCAUGUGGUCAUGAGGGUUAGAUGCCUUAUGACUAAAGGAGUAAUCCGCUUCGGGAGGGGCCUGCGUCCCAUCAGCUAGUUGGUAGGGUAAUGGCCUACCAAGGCGACGACGGGUAGGGGACCUGAGAGGGUGACCCCCCACACUGGCACUGAAACACGGGCCAGACACCUACGGGUGGCAG
rnacentral:rRNA from 1 species